rnacentral:rRNA from 1 species
UACAGAGGUCUCAAGCGUUGUUCGGAUUCAUUGGGCGUAAAGGGUGCGUAGGUGGCGCUGUAAGUCGGGUGUGAAAUUUCGGAGCUUAACUCCGAAACUGCAUUCGAUACUGCGGUGCUUGAGGACUGGAGAGGAGACUGGAAUUCAUGGUGUAGCAGUGAAAUGGCGUAGAGAUCAUGAGGAAGACCAUGGCGAAAGGCGGGUCUCUGGACAGUUCCUGACACUGAGGCACGAAGGCCAGGGGAGCAAACGGG